AUUGAACGCUGGCGGCAGGCCUAACACAUGCAAGUCGAACGAGUGGCGGACGUGUGAGUAAUGUCUGGGACACUGCCUGAUGGAGGGGGACAACUACUGGAAACGGUCGCACAUUCCGCAUACCAUCAGAUGCCCCCAUAUGGGAUUAGCUAGUUGGUGGGGUAACGGCUCACCAAGGCGACGAUCCCUAGCUGGUCGGAGAGGAUAACCAGCGAAACUGGAACUGUGACACGGUCCAGACGCCUACGGGCGUCAGCAGUGGGGAAUAUUGCACAAUGGGCGCAAGCCUGAUGCAGCCAUGCCGCGUGUAUGAAGAAGGCCUUCGGGUUGUAAAGUACUUUCAGCGGGGAGGCGUUACCCUCAGAAGAAGCACCGGCUAACGCCGUGCCAGCAGCCGCGGUAAUAC
rnacentral:rRNA from 1 species